AUCAGGUAGGACUACCCGCUGAACUUAAGCAUAUCAAUAAGCGGAGGAAAAGAAACCAACAGGGAUUGCCUCAGUAACGGCGAGUGAAGCGGCAAAAGCUCAAAUUUGAAAUCUAGUACCUUCGGUGCUCGAGUUGUAAUUUGAAGAUGGUAACUUUGGAGUUGGCCCUUGUCUAUGUUCCUUGGAACAGGACGUCACAGAGGGUGAGAAUCCCGUCUGACGAGGUGAUCCAACUCUAUGUAAAGUGCUAUCGAAGAGUCGAGUUGUUUGGGAAUGCAGCUCUAAGUGGGUGGUAAAUUCCAUCUAAAGCUAAAUAUUGGCGAGAGACCGAUAGCGAACAAGUACAGUGAUGGAAAGAUGAAAAGAACUUUGAAAAGAGAGUGAAAAAGUACGUGAAAUUGUUGAAAGGGAAGGGUAUUAGAUCAGACUUGGCGUUUUAUGAUUAUCUUCCCUUCUUGGGUUGUGCACUCGUAUUGCGCUGGGCCAGCAUCGAUUCGGAUGGCAGGAUAAUGGCAAUUGAAUGUGGCAUCCACUUCGGUGUAUGUGUUAUAGCUUUUGUUGAUGCUGCCUAUCUGGAUCGAGGACUGCGUCUU
rnacentral:rRNA from 1 species